rnacentral:rRNA from 1 species
UAGGGAAUCUUCCACAAUGGACGCAAGUCUGAUGGAGCAACGCCGCGUGAGUGAAGAAGGUUUUCGGACCGUAAAGCUCUGUUGUUGGUGAAGAAGGAUAGAGGUAGUAACUGGCCUUUAUUUGACGGUAAUCAACCAGAAAGUCACGGCUAACUACGUGCCAGCAGCCGCGGUAAUACGUAGGUGGCAAGCGUUGUCCGGAUUUAUUGGGCGUAAAGCGAGCGCAGGCGGAAGAAUAAGUCUGAUGUGAAAGCCCUCGGCUUAACCGAGGAAUUGCAUCGGAAACUGUUUUCUUGAGUGCAGAAGAGGAGAGUAGAACUCCAUGUGUAGCGGUGGAAUGCGUAGAUAUAUGGAAGAAUCACAGGUGGCAGAGGCGCUC